ensembl:lncRNA
GUUCACUCCCUGGGUCCGGAAGAUCCCCUGGAGUAGGGAAUGACAAUACACUCCAGUGGGUUGGAGUGGAGUGGAAGAAACCCACUUUCGACAGAGGAGCCUGAUGGACUACCAUCCAUGGAGUUGCAAAGAGUUGGACCUGACUUAGAGACCUGGGUUCAGUCCCUGAGUUGAGAAGAUCCCCUGGAGGAGAAAACGGCAACCCACUCCAGUAUUCUUGCCUGGAGAAUCCCUUGGAUGUAGGAGCCUAACAAGCUCAGUUCAUGGGGUCGCAAGGAGUUGGAAGACAAAGUAAGUGAAGUUAUAUAAGGAAAAGACAGAGAAGAUCACAGAUGAAAUGGGACAGAAAUUUGUGACCUGAAAAGAAAACAAAACAAUGGCCAGCUGCAAAAAGAUCUUGAUUGUCAGAUUUUGAUGCUGUCUUUGGAGGAAGAAAGACCAAGCUCUGUACUUCUGAAAUUCUUUGGUUUGAUAGGAUCUUAUAUUAGAAUGUUUAACUCAAAAUAGCUAUCAUUUUAUUAGAUGGCUGGCAGAAGCCUUCAGCAGUGCUCUCUUGCAGAAACAUAAUGGGUUUCUCCAUUUCUGAUGAAAUUGGAAAGCUGUGGGAACUUCUGUGUCAUGGCAUAGGAAUUGUGUUACCCAUGGUGUAAGAUUUUUCUUUUCAAGAAGGGAAGCAAACAGAAUAUUGUAACUAAUCACAAAUUUAAUGUAAACAGGCUUUGGUCAAAAUUAUUUUUAAAAAUGUAAUGCAACUAUGACAGCAAAGGUUUGGCAGCAAGAUGUGUAUUAGAUAAGGGGACAGCUAAUACAUCUUGGAAUACUUAUAUCAGCAAGGAUAUACAGCUUAAAAAUUUACCCAUUCUUGUCUCUUGGCCUAUGUACAUUAUUUUUUCUUAUUUCACUCUCUAC